UACGGGGGAGCAAGCGUUGUUCGGAUUUACUGGCGUAAAGGGCGCGUAGGCGGCUUGGCAAGUGGAAGGUGAAUCCCUCGGCUUAACCGAGGAACUGCCCUCCAAACUGCUUGCUUGAGGCCGGGAGAGGUGAGUGGAAUUCCCAGUGUAGCGGUGAAAUGCGUAGAUAUUGGGAGGAACACCAGUGGCGAAGGCGGCUCACUGGACCGGUUCGUGACGCUGAGCGCGAAAGCGUGGGAGCAACAGG
rnacentral:rRNA from 1 species